rnacentral:rRNA from 1 species
GAUGGACGCUGGCGGCGUGCCUAAUACAUGCAAGUCGAGCGAACGGACGAGAAGCUUGCUUCUCUGAUGUUAGCGGCGGACGGGUGAGUAACACGUGGAUAACCUACCUAUAAGACUGGGAUAACUUCGGGAAACCGGAGCUAAUACCGGAUAAUAUUUUGAACCGCAUGGUUCAAAAGUGAAAGACGGUCUUGCUGUCACUUAUAGAUGGAUCCGCGCUGCAUUAGCUAGUUGGUAAGGUAACGGCUUACCAAGGCAACGAUGCAUAGCCGACGUGAGGGGGUGAUCGGCGACACUGGGGGUGAGACACGGUCCAGGCACCUACGGGAGGCAGCAGUAGGGAAUCUUCCGCAAAGGGCGAAAGCCUGACGGAGCAACGCCGCGUGAGUGAUGAAGGUCUGCGGAUCGGAAAACUCUGUUAUUAGGGAAGAACAUAUGUGUAAGUAACUGUGCACAGCUUGACGGUACCUAAUCAGAAAGCCACGGCUAACUACGUG